AGCCCUAAACAGGCCCUGGCAUUUGUCAGCAUCAUUCCUUGGCUGGAGGCGACCUGCUGCUCCACCCUCCACCUUGGCACCAGCAGACCUGCCUGGCUGGUUUGCCAGGGACUCUGCCUGUUUUGCCAUCUUAGGGCACUGUUUGCCUCUGAUUUAUUGGGGCUUAGGAAGUACCUGUACAGGUUGGGGACGAGGACCACGUGGAAAAGAAUGCAGGACAGGGAGUCACUUUGACCAGUGACUGCUUUGCGGACCACAGGGGCUGGAAGACCCCGGGUCAGCCCCACCACUCUACCACCACAGUGCGGCCGCCCACCUGAUGCUUGUCUCUCUGAGUCAGCCUCUCCCACCCAGCAGUACCCUGACCCCAGGCUCACCCAGACAGGUACUCCUGCGGUGUGACUCAUGUCAGUCCCUCCUGCUAUCCAGCCCAUCUCUGGAGUCCCACGCUUCCUGCUAAGGUGUUUGAAGGAGGGGUGAGUCAGGGACUGACGGGAUCUUGCCGAGGAAAUCAAAAUGCUGAUGGUUUUGUGUUUCCUUUUGAAGCUGUGACCAGAUGGAUAAAGUUCUGCAGGCUGUGCCAUGUAAGGGAUGCAGGAGACUGGGCUGUCCCUCUCCAGAUCUCAGUUUCCCCAUCUAUAAAGUAGGGAAAAUAAAACCUGCUGUGGUUACUUCACAGGUGAUCAUAGAAAGGCUGGGUUUUGUUUUUGCUUUUCAAGUCAUGUUUAUUGAUGUAUACUUGACAUUGAGUGAAAAGUCAUGUUUAUUGAUGUAUACUUGACAUUGAGUGAAAAACUCACCCGGCAAUUUAAUAAAUGCAAUUGCCACCAUAACCAAGGUGCAGAACAGUUCCUCCCUCAUGCCUUUUUGCAGCCAACCUCUCCCCGAUCCCUAGGAAUCCGUUGAUCUGUUUUCUGUCAGAAGGGUCAAGUUUAAUCAUUAAAAUGACCUAUUAUGGAAAAAUGUGUAAGCAUAUAAAACCAAGUUUUCUUUAAAGGAUAUUUUGGAACAGAUAAUCAUUAGGACAGUCAAAAGAAUGGGUUUAAAAAUAAUCUUUGUAAAUUAAAGUGCAGUUGACAAAGUAGUUUUAGGAUAGUUGUAGAGUAGCUAGUCUAGAUACUAUAUAGUUAAUAGUUACUAGCUAGUUAAUAGUCUAGUUAAUAGCUAGUCUAAUUGUCAAGCUUCAGGCUGGGGCUGGUUGAUGGAAAAACUACGUUAAAUAAUGCAAUUGAAUCCACAGAAAUUCUCUAUGGGGCAGACUUAUGUUCUUAAGAGAUAUUUGUCACCUUCUUAAAAUUCACCCCUGCUACCACCAUGAAAGGGACAAAGAAAAUAAAAACCUCCAUUCUGUAUGAAUCAACCAUCACAUGUUCAAAUAUAGCUUAUCUACAUGAAAACUUCUUUAUAGCACAUUUCUGUCUACCAAGCACCAGCCCUUAGGUUCAGGCAGCAUAUUGAACUGGACUGGGCCGAGCGGCAUGGGAGCCUAAAGGGAAAGGCUGAUUCGGUGACUGUAAAGAUGUAGGCAAAUGUCCACUGGUUGUUACGAUGCUACACUGUGUGUUCUAAGCAUAUUCCUGGCCCCCAGGAAGGCAAGGUCCUUAGAGCUUAAAGUGGGACCUUAAUGAGCUAACGCUCUGUGCACUAGGGCCUGGGGAGGGGUGGGGAGAGGAGAGCUGGGAAGACACGGAAGACAGGGAAAGGAAGAAGGGCUGGGCAUGCAGGAGAGAAAACUCUUACCUCCAAAGCUGCAAUUAUCUGGGCACUGACAUACAUUCAUUCAUUCAUUCAAUGAGUAUUUUUCCAAGCACUGAUCUAACUUCUGGAGAUACAAUAGUGAGGAAUCAGGCAAACAUCCCUGCCCUGUGGAGCUCACAUGCUCAAGUAGGGGAGACAGACAAUAAAGCAAAUAACUUGGGUGAUAUGUGCUAGGGAGCAAAAUAAAUCAUGGAAAAGGGAUGAGAUGUGAAGCCUAUAAAAUUUUUCCCCCAAUUCCACUCCAGCCCAAUACAUUUGAAUGAAUUCAAAUUUAUGUCCUGGCCCAGGAAAAGGCCCAUUCUGGGGAAGUUGUAAACGAGGCAGGAAAGGGUCAGGGGAGUGGAAGCCACAGGAAGCGAGGGAGGGAAGGAGCCCUGACACCUGGGUGGGGACCGGCAGGGAUGUUUGGAGGGUCGGUGCAGAAGCCAGCGUGGCCUGAGCAGGGUGAUCCGGGAACAGAGCAUAGAGAGGAAAUGGGGUGGGGACAACUGUGAGUGCCUUUUACAGCUCUCUAAGGGCUUCCGGCUUCCAUUCUAGGUGAGACGGGAAGGGCUUUCAGCGGAAAAGUAACAAGAUUGACUUGCAUUUUUACAAAAUCCCUGUCCACUGGGUGGGGUGGGGGUGGGGCUCAAGGGCGAAUGCAGGUGAAUGGUGAGGUGUCAGAUUCUGGAACAACUGUAUUUUGAAGGUAGAGGCGGCAGGCUGUGCUGAUGCAAUAAAUAUAGGCUGUAAGGAAAAGGGGGGCUGCUAGGAUUGGGCCUGAGGAACUCGAAGGGUGGAGUUGUGAUUUAGUGGAACGAGGCCGGGUCUGUGGAUUUAGUCUGUGGAAGAGCCGGGUGAUUCAGGCCAGAUAAGGAGUUAGGUCUGGGUUCUGUUAGGUUUGAGCAUAGCAGUAGCCGUGCUAAGUGACAGAUAUUUGGGAAUGGCGUUCAUGAGAAAGGUCAGGAGGCAGAGACAAAUGCAGACCCGACAGUGAAGCAACCCCGGUACCGACGUCACCAAGGAAUGGGUGAAGCCAGGAGAGGAGCCAGACCUGGCUGUGGACACCAGCAGGGACAGCUGGGGCAGGAGGGGCGCCCGGCACCAGCGAGCGACUCGGAGACCCAGCGGUAGGAGGCAGCAGUGACCGACUGAGUCAGAUGCCGCGAGAGUAGCCACGGAUUUAACGAGGAGGCCUUUGUUGACCUUGGCCAGAGCAGUUUCUGGAGAGCAAUGGGAAGUCCCAUUAGCGUGGUUCCAGGGAGCAUGGGAACCGAAGUACUGGGGACGGCGGCUAGAGAUCAUCUUUCCAGGAGUUUUGCUCUUAAAGAAGCAGAGAAAUGUAGUAACUGGAGAGAGACGUGAGAUAAAGAGUUUAUGUUUGUUUUUCUGUUUGGGGCUUUGUAGGUAUACAUGAGCUAACCAUAACAUUUACCAUUUUAACCACUUUUAAGUGUAAACUUCUGUGGCGUUAAGCACUCUCGCACUGUCGUGCAGCCAUCACCGCCAUCCAUCUCUAGAGCAUUUUUGCUUUUGCUAAGCUGAAACUUCACAUCCACUGACUCCUCUUCUGGCCCCUGGAGCCCACCGUUCCACUUUCUGUCUCUAUGAAUCUGACUGCUCUAGGGAACCUCAUAUAAAUGGUAUCACCUAGUAUUUGUCAUCCCGUGACUGGCUUAUUUCACUUACCAUAACGUCCUCAAGGUUCAUUCACAUUGUAGGAGGCAUCAGAAUUCCCUUCCUUCUUAAUGCCUGGACGCUCCUUGGUAUGAAGCCACCACAUUUUGCUUAUCCGUUCAUCAUGCAUUGAUGGACACUUGGAUUGUUUCCACGUUUGGCUACUGCAAAUAAUGCUGCUGUGAACAUGGGUGGACAAAUAUCUGUCCAAUGCUUUUGCUUUCAGCUCUUUGGGGAAUAUAUCCAGAAGUGGAAUUGCUGGAUCAUACUGCCAUUCUGUGUUUAAUUUUUUCAGGACCUGCCAUGCCAUUUCCUGUUUGUUUUUAAGAUAGGAGCUGUAACAGCAUGCUUGUGUGUUGAUAAAAAUGAUCCAGUCAAAAGGAGGAAAUUGACCAAGCAAGUGGGAGGAGAGAAUUGCCCUGGUGCCAAUCCUGGGCCAGGAGAGAAGGUGGGAUCUUGUGCACAGUACAGGCAUACCUCGUUUUAUUGUGCUGCGCCAAUACUGCGUUUUGUACGAAUUGAAGGUCUGUGGCAGCCCUGCGUUGAGCAAGUCCAUCAACACCAUUUUUCUGAUAGCGUUGGCUCCCUUUGUGUCUCUGGGUCACAUUUUGGUAAUUUUCACAGUAUUUCCAACUUUUUCAUCAUUCUUAUAUUUGUCAUGUGAUCUAUAAUCAGUGAUCUUUAAUGUUACUAGUGUGAUUGUUUGGGGGCCCAUACAAGACAGCAAAGUCUGUCAGUGAGUGUGCGUAUUCUGCUUCUCCCCCGACUGGCUGUCCCACCCCACCCCACCCCCAUCUCUCUCUCUCUCUGGAGCCUCCCUGGUCCCUGAGAUGCAGCAAUACUGAAAUUAGACCAAUUAAUAAUCCUCCAAUGGCUGUUAUUGUUCAAGUGAAAAGAGGAGUCCCCUCUUUCUCACUUUAAAUCAAAAGCUAGAAAGAGGAAGCUGAGGGAAGAAUGCAUGCCGAAAGCUGAGACGGGCCACAGGCCAGGACUUACGUGGCAGCAAGGAGCCGAGCUGUGGCCGCAAAGGACAAGUUCUUGAAGGACAUUAAAAGUGCUACUUCAGUGCACACGUGACUAAGAAAAUGAAACAGACUUCUUGCUGACAGGGAGGGAGUUUCAGUGGUCUGACUGGAAGAGCAAACCAGCCACAACAUUUCGGUGAAGCCAGAACCUAAUCCAGAGCAAGGCCCUAACUCUUCAAUUCCAUGAAGGCUGAGAGGGAACCUGCCCAGCCAUUCCAGACUUUAGCAACUGCCACCCUGAUCAGUCAGCAGCCAUCAGCACUGAGACAAGACCUUCCACCAGCGAGAGGAUUCUGACUCACUGAGUUUUCAUUUUAACAUUUUUUAGCAAAUAUUUUUUAAUGAAGGCGGGGGGACUGUCUCAUAGAGGUCAAAUCACCCACUGGAGUCGGGGUUCACACCCAGGCCCUUCUGCCUCCAGAGCCCAGCCCAGAUGCACAGGCUGUACCCCUCCUCCUGGUGAUCCAGACAGGCAACCGGCAUCAAGGCCUGUGGUCAAGCUGCUGGUGUUCCUGAGCACGUUUCUGCAUAGAAUUUUGCCUGGAGCAGCCUGGAAACCACAGAUAGGGACAUUCCAUCCUUAAGGCAGUUUUGAUGAACAUAGUCUCCUCCAGCCAGCAAGUCUGCCCUCAAGCCAUUGAUUAGCUGUUGGUUCCGCACAGGGUCCCCUUCUGUCUCCCCUUUAAAAUGCUCUCAUUCUGAACCGCACUUUGAAGAUGACCUUGGAGGAUGCUGGUCCACCUUCCCCCCCAGGUUGCCUGCUUCCUCAACAAAGCAAAUUUCCUCCCCACACCAACACGUGUCUCUCGAGUUUUGACUUUAAAGCAGCUGAACUUGGGUUCCAAACCAGCUUGGUGAGACUUUCUUUGGCUUUAAAAACAGAGUCUAUUUCUUGGAAUAAUAAACUCAAUUGUUUAACUUCAAUUUUAAAGCUCAACUUCUCAAUUUCAUGUUGCUUACCCAUUUGGUACAGUUAAACAAUCACUCUUACAUUCUAGACUUUUUAGGGUAAAACUCACUUACUGAGGAAAACAUUUUACCAAUACUAAUUAUGGCAAUCAGACAACACAAAGAGAUAAAAGGCAUCCAAAUUUGUGAGGAAGAAGUGAAACUAUCCCUAUUUGCAGAUGACAUGAUAUUA